GGAUGGGUAGCUUAGUGGUUAAAGCUUAGGCCUCGUAACCGGUAGGUCCCGGGGAUCGAAUCCCCCUAAAGG
rnacentral:tRNA from 1 species